CUCGUAGGUGGCCAACUAAGUCAGACGUGAAAUCCCUCGGCUUAACCGGGGAGCUGCGUCUGAUACUGGAUGGCUUGAGUUCGGGAGAGGGAUGCGGAAUUCCAGGUGUAGCGGUGAAAUGCGUAGAUAUCUGGAGGAACACCGGUGGCGAAGGCGGCAUCCUGGACCGACACUGACGCUGAGGAGCGAAAGCCAGGGAGCAAACG
rnacentral:rRNA from 1 species